rnacentral:lncRNA from 1 species
AUUUGUUUAGCUUUCGAUUCAACGGAACGUAGAAGUGAAUUAUUGCUAGGAAUCACACCUUGUGCAUUGCUUUGGUUGAAUGUUUUGCAUUUUAAAUUUGGAAUGUAUUUGUGCUCAAUCAUGCUUUGUUCGGUUUUAAAUCUCACCUUAGGACAUUUAUGAUACGAAGUGUUGAUAAUAAGUGAUUUGGGAUAUGAUUUGGGCCUUCUUUGAACCGUUUGAGCCUUUCAAGCCUACCCUUUUUGUCAAAUUAUCCUUAGAACCUUGAUUUGAGCCUCGGAGAAAAGGUGUUCUUUCUUUUAGCCAAUAUGUAGAAGGUAGAAAAGUGGAGA